UCCUACGGGCGGCAGCAGUGGGGAAUCUUAGACAAUGGGCGCAAGCCUGAUCUAGCCAUGCCGCGUGAGUGAUGAAGGCCUUAGGGUCGUAAAGCUCUUUCGCCAGAGAUGAUAAUGACAGUAUCUGGUAAAGAAACCCCGGCUAACUCCGUGCCAGCAGCCGCGGUAAUACGGAGGGGGUUAGCGUUGUUCGGAAUUACUGGGCGUAAAGCGCACGUAGGCGGAUCAGAAAGUUGGGGGUGAAAUCCCAGGGCUCAACCCUGGAACGGCCUCCAAAACUCCUGGUCUUGAGUUCGAGAGAGGUGAGUGGAAUUCCGAGUGUAGAGGUGAAAUUCGUAGAUAUUCGGAGGAACACCAGUGGCGAAGGCGGCUCACUGGCUCGAUACUGACGCUGAGGUGCGAAAGUGUGGGGAGCAAACAGGAUUAGAUACCCUUGUAGUC
rnacentral:rRNA from 1 species